rnacentral:rRNA from 1 species
AGGACAAACGCUGGCGGCGUGCCUAACACAUGCAAGUCGAACGUCCUGUCUCGCAAGAGGCAGGGAGUGGCGGACGGGUGAGUACCACGUGGGUCAUCUACCGUGAGGUGAGGAAUACCGGCGAGAAAUCGCCGACAAGACCGCAUAGGCUCGAUGCAAGUCGAGCAAAGCUCUUUCGAGAGAGGGAGCGCCACACGAGGAGCCUGCGCCCGAUUAGCUAGCUGGUGGAGUAACGGUUCACCAGGGCGACGAUCGGUAGCUGGUCUGAGAGGACGAUCAGCCACACUGGGAUUGAGAACGGCCCAGACUCCUACGGGGGGCAGCAGUGAGGAAUUUUCGUCAAUGGGGGCAACCCUGAACGAGCAACGCCGCGUGCAGGAAGAAGGUUUUCGGAUCGUAAACUGCUUUUCUCGGGGAAGAGAAUGGACGGUACCCGAGGAAUCAGCCCCGGCUAACUACGUGCCAGCAGCCGCGGU